AACCAUAGAAACCUGCGGAGUACCUGCGGAGGGAUCAUUAUAGUAUAUGGAAUCUCCAUUCUAUAAACCCACUCUGCGUAUCUUGUAACUGUUGCUUCCAUGGGACUUGGUUCCGCCACACCGGCUUCACGGCUGGUGAGCGCCCAUGGAAGGAGAAACAAAACUCUUCUUUGAAAUGUAGUCAGUCUGAACAAGUUUUUAUAGACGUUAAAACUUUUAACAAUGGAUCUCAGAUCGGAA
rnacentral:misc_RNA from 1 species